UAGAACUAAUGAACAGAAUAUCUACAACCUGUCCAGUGGUCAAUGGAUUGUUCUAUCUGUCAGUGGACAGUGUUUUCCACCAACUAGUAGCUUUAUAAUUGAAAGGAUCAGUCAUAAUAAAGGAAUUAUGUAUGGAGGAGUAGUGACUGAUGGUGAUGGAGAUAUUUCUAUUUCUACUAACAGUAUCUACUUGUUUCAAUUAUCACAUAAUACAAUAAACUGGGAGUAUCUUAAACAAGGAUCAGUACCUAAUGAUGGACUGUGGCCUGUAGGAAGAGAUCAUCAUGCCAGUACUAUUAUCAAUGGUGUCUCUACCUCACCUACACUAG